CGGGCAACUUCCACAGAGACGACUCCACGAAGGUCAAUUUAACGCUGCAUUCAAGAUGCACUCGGAAGUCCGGAAAUCCCCCAAAAAAGUAGCUUAUAACUCCAACAAUUACAGGCCACUGGGAAUAUUUUAUGUAGUUUUAAGACGUUUUUUUGAACUACAA